AACGAACGCUGGCGGCAUGCCUAACACAUGCAAGUCGAACGAGACCUUCGGGUCUAGUGGCGCACGGGUGCGUAACGCGUGGGAACCUACCUUUAGGUUCGGAAUAACUCAGAGAAAUUUGAGCUAAUACCGGAUGAUGUCUUCGGACCAAAGAUUUAUCGCCUUUAGAUGGGCCCGCGUUGGAUUAGCUAGUUGGUGGGGUAAAGGCCUGCCAAGGCGACGAUCCAUAGCUGGUCUGAGAGGAUGAUCAGCCACACUGGGACUGAGACACAGCCCAGACUCCUACGGGAGGCAGCAGUGGGGAAUAUUGGACAAUGGGCGAAAGCCUGAUCCAGCAAUGCCGCGUGAGUGAUGAAGGCCUUAGGGUUGUAAAGCUCUUUUACCCGAGAUGAUAAUGACAGUAUCGGGAGAAUAAGCUCCGGCUAACUCCGUG
rnacentral:rRNA from 1 species